rnacentral:lncRNA from 1 species
CUUGAUCUGCAUGAUUUCUCUGUCCCAUAUGACAGAGCAGGACAAGAAGACAGCCAACAGAAGCCUCUCCAAAGCAUGGGGUCAAGAGAGACAGACAAAAAGAAAAACACCAGUUCUAAUCUGGCAUUUAUUUCUGUCCCUGGAUCAGCUGAAGUUUAUACGUCUGUGGCCUGGAAAAAUUGUGACAACAGUUUACAUUAUGGCAUUGUUAAUUACUCCUUAAAUUAU